UAAAGAGCUCGUAGGCGGUUUGUCGCGUCUGCUGUGAAAACCUGAGGCUCAACCUCAGACCUGCAGUGGGUACGGGCAAGCUAGAGUGCGGUAGGGGAGAUGGGAAUUCCUGGUGUAGCGGUGGAAUGCGCAGAUAUCAGGAGGAACACCAAUGGCGAAGGCACUUCUCUGGGCUGUAACUGACGCUGAGGAGCGAAAGCGUGGGGAGCGAACAGGAUUAGAUACCCUGGUAGUCCACGCCGUAAACGUUGGGCGCUAGAUGUGGGUCACAUUCCACGUGAUCCGUGUCGCAGCUAACGCAUUAAGCGCCCCGCCUGGGGAGUACGGCCGCAAGGCUAAAACUCAAAGGAAUUGACGGGGGCCCGCACAAGCGGCGGAGCAUGCGGAUUAAUUCGAUGCAACGCGAAGAACCUUACCAAGGCUUGACAUAUAGUGGAAAACUGCAGAAAUGUAGUCCCCCGCAAGGGUCGCUAUACAGGUGGUGCAUGGUUGUCGUCAGCUCGUGUCGUGAGAUGUUGGGUUAAGUCCCGCAACGAGCGCAACCCUCGUCCUAUGUUGCCAGCACGUAAAGGUGGGAACUCAUGGGAGACUGCCGGGGUCAACUCGGAGGAAGGUAAU
rnacentral:rRNA from 1 species